AGCCAGUGAUGACAAACUUAAAUAUUUCUGACACCUACUAUGAGCGCUGACCUUCAGCCACUGAUUCUCUCUUUGUCCUGAGGCCU
rnacentral:snoRNA from 1 species